ensembl:lncRNA LINC00879 long intergenic non-protein coding RNA 879
UUGGGGCGACGGCCAGAAGUCCAGGGCUAGGAGCCUCAGCCGGCGGACGCCAGGAAACAGGCUCCCUCUGCAGUGGAAUUACCCUUAUGUCUUUUCUGUCUAUGCUGAUCCACCUGAUCUUGAACUGGUGCUAUUCCAUGGGGAAAAUUGGAACAUGGGGCAAUUAACACUUUCUCCACUUUAUCCCAUCAACAGGAAAUUGAAAUAUAACCAACUAACUCAGGAGACAUCAUGGAAGAUGUCACACAGUGAAUGAUGAUGAAGCAGAAUUUUUAAAAUGUGUAGGAUUACGAGAAGUGGGGUCAUUUUUCUUUGUGUAUGGUAUUGCUGAUGCAGUUUAAUGCUCCAUUACUUCUAAAUUUUCAUCAUAAGCUAGAUUUUCCAGUUGUGGUUUCUAUAAAGAAAAACAAACAUUCUGAAGACAGUUUUUCCAGAUUUAUUCCAGAUAUCGAUGAUUAACUUUUGAAGAAAUAUCUGAAUGAAAUGCUCAUGAAAGGAUUAAGAAAGUCUGCAGUUGAGCCUGGAGCCAGCAAAAGACAUCAUCACUAAAAGUAUAUGCAUGACCCGCAUUUGUUGCCUUUAUGGUCCUUACCCAAGAUAUUUGAAUUCACCAGAAUGGUCUUAAUAUGGUAUUGUAAGUACCUGGAUCUGAAAACCAUUAAGUAUGAGAGUGCGCUGUAUUGGUGAUGCCAGUUUGUGGACUCCUUAUGUAAAUAAAUGAAGGACAAGUUAAAAACUGCAGUCACUCAUGUGAAAUAUAAAAGGCUGGCAGAAUACGGCUAAAUGUCGAGGUCUAGCCCAAUGUGUGAGAUUUAGAGAAAUCAUGUAUUCCAAUAAAAUCAGAUAUACUCCUGAAA